GACAUCUGAUUCGGAGGAAAGUGGCGGACGGGUGAGUAACGCGUGAGGAACCUGCCUUGAAGAGGGGGACAACAGUUGGAAACGACUGCUAAUACCGCAUGACGCAUAGGGGUCGCAUGAUCUUUAUGCCAAAGAUUUAUCGCUUCAAGAUGGCCUCGCGUCUGAUUAGCUGGUUGGCGGGGUAACGGCCCACCAAGGCGACGAUCAGUAGCCGGACUGAGAGGUUGAACGGCCACAUUGGGACUGAGAUACGGCCCGGACUCCUACGGGAGGCAGCAGUGGGGAAUAUUGGGCAAUGGGCGCAAGCCUGACCCAGCAACGCCGCGUGAAGGAAGAAGGCUUUCGGGUUGUAAACUUCUUUUAAGAGGGAAGAGCAGAAGACGGUACCUCUAGAAUAAGCCACGGCUAACUACGUGCCAGCAGCCGCGGUAAUACGUAGGUGGCAAGCGUUGUCCGGAUUUACUGGGUGUAAAGGGCGUGCAGCCGGGUCUGCAAGUCAGAUGUGAAAUCCAUGGGCUCAACCCAUGAACUGCAUUUGAAACUGUAGAUCUUGAGUGUCGGAGGGGCAAUCGGAAUUCCUAGUGUAGCGGUGAAAUGCGUAGAUAUUAGGAGGAACACCAGUGGCGAAGGCGGAUUGCUGGACGAUAACUGACGGUGAGGCGCGAAAGUGUGGGGAGCAAACAGGAUUAGAUACCCUGGUAGUCCUCACUGUAAACGAUGAAUACUAGGUGUGCGGGGACUGACCCCCUGCGAACCGCAUUAAACCCCAUAAGUUUUACACCCGGGAAGCAGGAACGCCUGGCCGUCGUUCUACAGUCAGGAAA
rnacentral:rRNA from 1 species